rnacentral:rRNA from 1 species
GAUGAACGCUGGCGGCGUGCCUAAUACAUGCAAGUCGAGCGAACAGACGAGGAGCUUGCUCCUCUGACGUUAGCGGCGGACGGGUGAGUAACACGUGGAUAACCUACCUAUAAGACUGGGAUAACUUCGGGAAACCGGAGCUAAUACCGGAUAAUAUAUUGAACAGCAUGGUUCAAUAGUGAAAGACGGUUUUGCUGUCACUUAUAGAUGGAUCCGCGCCGCAUUAGCUAGUUGGUAAGGUAACGGCUUACCAAGGCAACGAUGCGUAGCCGACCUGAGAGGGUGAUCGGCCACACUGGAACUGAGACACGGUCCAGACUCCUACGGGAGGCAGCAGUAGGGAAUCUUCCGCAAUGGGCGAAAGCUUGACGGAGCAACGCCGCGUGAGUGAUGAAGGUCUUCGGAUCGUAAAACUCUGUUAUUAGGGAAGAACAAAUGUGUAAGUAACUAUGCACGUCUUGACGGUACCUAAUCAGAAAGCCACGGCUAACUACGUG